UCUGAUGACCGUGAGGGUCAGGUGCAGA
rnacentral:piRNA from 1 species